GACAGAGGGUGCGAACGUUGCUCGGAAUUACUGGGCGUAAAGCGCGUGUAGGCGGGUGCGCAAGUCCGUUGUGAGAUCCCUGGGCUCAACCCAGGAACUGCAUCGGAAACUGCGUGUCUUGAGUAAUGGAGAGGGAAGUGGAAUUCCCGGUGUAGAGGUGAAAUUCGUAGAUAUCGGGAGGAACACCAGUGGCGAAGGCGGCUUCCUGGACAUUUACUGACGCUGAGACGCGAAAGCGUGGGGAGCAAACAGG
rnacentral:rRNA from 1 species